rnacentral:rRNA from 1 species
GGUGGUGCAUGGUUGUCGUCAGCUCGUGUCGUGAGAUGUUGGGUUAAGUCCCGCAACGAGCGCAACCCUCGACCUUAGUUGCCAGCAUUCAGUUGGGCACUCUAAGGUGACUGCCGGCUAAAAGUCGGAGGAAGGUGGGGAUGACGUCAAAUCAUCAUGCCCCUUAUGACCUGGGCUACACACGUGCUACAAUGGGCGGUACAAAGGGUCGCGAACCCGCGAGGGGGAGCCAAUCCCAAAAAGCCGCUCUCAGUUCGGAUUGCAGGCUGCAACUCGCCUGCAUGAAGCCGGAAUCGCUAGUAAUCGCGGAUCAGCAUGCCGCGGUGAAUACGUUCCCGGGCCUU